rnacentral:lncRNA from 10 species
CGAAGUUUGGAUGCAGAGAACUUGGAGCUGUUGUUUUCUACCAGACACUAGGAUCCCUGAGAGACAUUCUUUCGCGCUGCACACACCUUCCUCCACGUGGUGAAGAUACAUCGCUCCUGACACUGACCUCGUGAUCCGCCCACCUUGUCCUCCCAAAGUGCUGGGAUUACAGGCGUGAGCCACCGCGCCCAGCCGAACUUGAGUCUUCUUAAUCAAGCCUCAUGCCUGACUGGACACUGAAAAAGAGGUGAAGAGAUGAGGCGAUAGAACAAAAGAACAGAAAGAUAAUGAAGCUGAGACUAAGUAAGUGAAAGCAUAAUUAUGUAUGCAGCCACAAAUGGAGCACAAAGCAAUUACUGCUUGUGGGAAUUUGAGAGAUGCUCUUUGAAGAGGUGUGAGGGAAUCAGUAAUACUUGCAGUGACUUUUAAGGAGGUGGAGUGUGCUGAUGAAGAUGCCACAAAGAACUGAUGGGAAGUUAUUCCUCUCCCCAACUGCUAUUGUA